CGGAGGGUGCGAGCGUUAAUCGGAAUUACUGGGCGUAAAGGGUGCGUAGGUGGAAUAAUAAGUUAGCUGUGAAAUCCCUGGGCUUAACCUGGGAAGGUCAGCUAAGACUGUUAAUCUGGAGUAUGGGAGAGGGUAGUGGAAUUUCCGGUGUAGCGGUGAAAUGCGUAGAGAUCGGAAGGAACAUCGGUGGCGAAGGCGGCUACCUGGCCUAAUACUGACACUGAGGCACGAAAGCGUGGGGAGCAAACAGGAUUAGAUACCCUGGUAGUCCACGCUGUAAACGAUGUCAACUAGCUGUUGGACUUAUGAAUGAGUUUAGUGGCGCAGCAAACGCGAUAAGUUGACCGCCUGGGGAGUACGGUCGCAAGAUUA
rnacentral:rRNA from 1 species